rnacentral:rRNA from 1 species
CUACGUGCCAGCAGCCGCGGUAAUACGGAGGAUGCGAGCGUUAUCCGGAUUUAUUGGGUUUAAAGGGUGCGUAGGCGGCCUGUUAAGUCAGCGGUGAAAUCUAGGAGCUUAACUCCUAAAUUGCCAUUGAUACUGGCGGGCUUGAGUGUAGAUGAGGUAGGCGGAAUGCGUGGUGUAGCGGUGGAAUGCAUAGAUAUCACGCAGAACUCCGAUUGCGAAGGCAGCUUACUAAGGUACAACUGACGCUGAAGCACGAAAGCGUGGGUAUCAAACAGGAUUAGAUACCCUGGUAGUCCACGCAGUAAACGAUGAUAACUGGGCGUAUGCGAUAUACAGUAUGCUCCUAAGCGAAAGCGUUAAGUUAUCCACCUGGGGAGUACGCCGGCAACGGUGAAACUCAAAGGAAUUGACGGGGGCCCGCACAAGCGGAGGAACAUGUGGUUUAAUUCGAUGAUACGCGAGGAACCUUACCCGGGAUU